rnacentral:rRNA from 1 species
CAAGUCGAACGGUAACGCGGGGCAACCUGGCGACGAGUGGCGAACGGGUGAGUAAUAUAUCGGAACGUGCCCAGUAGUGGGGGAUAGCCCGGCGAAAGCCGGAUUAAUACCGCAUACGACCUACGGGUGAAAGCGGGGGAUCGCAAGACCUCGCGCUAUUGGAGCGGCCGAUAUCAGAUUAGGUAGUUGGUGGGGUAAAAGCCUACCAAGCCGACGAUCUGUAGCUGGUCUGAGAGGACGACCAGCCACACUGGGACUGAGACACGGCCCAGACUCCUACGGGAGGCAGCAGUGGGGAAUUUUGGACAAUGGGCGCAAGCCUGAUCCAGCCAUGCCGCGUGCGGGAAGAAGGCCUUCGGGUUGUAAACCGCUUUUGUCAGGGAAGAAAUCUUCUGAAUUAAUACUUCGGGAGGAUGACGGUACCUGAAGAAUAAGCACCGGCUAACUACGUGCCAGCAGCCGCGGUAAUACGUAGGGUGCAAGCGUUAAUCGGAAUUACUGGGCGUAAAGCGUGCGCAGGCGGUCUUGCAAGACAGGUGUGAAAUCCCCGGGCUUAACCUGGGAACUGCACUUGUGACUGCAAGGCUGGAGUACGGCAGAGGGGGAUGGAAUUCCGCGUGUAGCAGUGAAAUGCGUAGAUAUGCGGAGGAACACCGAUGGCGAAGGCAAUCCCCUGGGCCUGUACUGACGCUCAUGCACGAAAGCGUGGGGAGCAAACAGGAUCAGAUACCCUGGUAGUCCACGCCCUAAACGAUGUCAACUGGUUGUUGGACGGCUUGCUGUUCAGUAACGUAGCUAACGCGUGAAGUUGACCGCCUGGGGAGUACGGCCGCAAGGUUGAAACUCAAGGAAUUGACGGGGACCGCACAGCGGUGGA